AUGGCAGAAAAAACCCUGCAAACCAUGGAUUCAGUGACAGGAGCAGUGACUCCACUUAACUUUGUACCUGGCAGAUUCACACAUUUUACAUGUGACAACAUUGACAUAAAUGAUUCAACCCUUGAUGGCAAGAACACCUUCCAUGCUACACAGAUGGCAGCAUGGCAACGUGGUCCAGAAGGUGACAUGAUGAUGAAGAAUUUGAGACCAUCAAAAACGGAAAGCCUUCAGGUCCCUGAGGGGAAUGAGAUGCUUUUUCCAGCUGGAGUUAGAGAAAGUAAAGCCUGUCCAAAAUCAACAGAAAAUACAAAGAAGGAGUGGUUCAAAAAAUCAGAUGAGAAUGGAUCAAUUGCAAAAGCAACUGUCAUAGACAUGGCAUUCUUUUUCAAGCGUCAGGAUGAAGGAGACAUGAAGCAAGGCUGGACAACCUUUAACCAAAAUCACAGUGAAAGGUCACCUGAAAUGACAAGCAUUGGUUACAUGCCCAUUAUCCAGGCACCUGCUCAUGACCUAGAUACACUGAAAACUGUUGUGCUGAGAUGUAAACAUGUGGCCAGAAAACUAGGGCAGCAUCAUGUUGUUAUCACAGUGGAUGAAGCAUUGUUCUGUAAAUUGAUGGAGUUGAAGUGGGCAAAUGAUGACUAUCUGGAUUGCCUUGUUGUCAGAUUAGGUGGCCUGCACAUUGCCCUAAAAUUCAUGGAAGUCAUCGUUAAGCACGUCCAAUCAUCUGGAUUGUUGGAAGCAUGGGUUGAAGGCAACCUACUAGGCCCCAAAACUGCAGAGCAAACUAUGGCAGGGAAGUCUUACAACAAAGGAAUUAGAGCCCACAAAAUCACUCUGCAGGCCAUGUGGAGGAUUCUGUUGCCUCAGCUGCUUAGCUUUCUGGAAGACAGGAAUCGUGAUCUUAACGAUCUACUGGAUAAGACAAAGAACAGCCCUGUAGAAGAUCUUGUGACAUUGCUUGCUUCUGAAGAAUUUCAAGCAGUCACAGAGGCCUACAUUAAAGCCAACAACAACCCAAACUUCAUGUUUUGGUGGGGCUACAUGAAGAUGGUUCACAUUCUUCUAUUUUUCAUUCGCGCACAGAGGGACAGAAUCUGGGACCUGUACCUUUGUGCAUUCCAGCAAAUGUUGCCCUAUUUCAUGCGGUAUAACCACAUCAACUUUGCUCGGUGGGGGACCAUCUACGUGAAUGAGAUGCACCAACUUCCACAGCCUGUGAAGAAGGAGUUUGAGGCUGGAAACUUUGUAGUCCUGAUCAUAGUCAGGAGUGGCUAG
ensembl:lncRNA